UUUAAUCUUUUUCAUAAAUUUUAGGUAGUGGAGUGGGUGACAGUAACAACAACGUGUUCUCUAUCUGAUUCUAUCGACACUUUAACCAAUAACAAUGAGAUUAGUGUGACUAUCCACCGUCCACCACCUAGAGAAGCCAAUAGCAACAGGCUUACUAUUACCGCCUUUAUCGAUCAUUUUAUCGUUCCAGGACUUUCCAUCUCCCUUUCUCCUCUUCCGAACACAAAACGAUUGACUCUCUCAUCUUCUACCGCCUUUUGCUCCGCUCCAACGUAUCUUUUAAUCCGACGGCCACCAUCGCCUCUCCCUCUGACUCCUUCCCUCUACCUCAAUUGAAAAAAAGGGUUAACUCGACUGAUGUACAUAAGUUCUUCGAGAAACUCUCUAACCGCCUCCAACUUGAUGUCUCCUCCACCUUCCCUACACUCGAUCGCCUCACAACUGUACUUCCCCUUAUCAACUCUUUUUUCGCUAUCUAAAUACCCCACCGCCACCGAUUUCAUAGAACGUUUCUUCCUGCUCUCAUCUUGCUCCCGUUCCAAUCUGGUCGACUCUUCCUCUGCAUUCCAGUUCCUUCCACUGCUCCCAUUGAUUUUGCUCCAGGUAUGUAACACUCGGCCUGCUAAAGAGUUCCUCGAUUUCUUCCUCUACUGCUUCUAUUGUUUUCUGUCUUCCUUCCUAUUUUCUCGUUCUUCUUUCUACUGUAUGUUGCAGGUGUGGCCUUUCGUCUCUUCUUCUGUGUGUUGUCAUUAGGUCAAUAUUCCCUUCCAGUUGUUGAUGCCAAAUGAUUAGUCGAAGACCAAAUCCAAGUGUUAACUUUGCCAUCUGCAACUUAUUCAACUUAACUGAGUAAUGAAGAUUCAACCCGCCCUUCCCAGUAGAGAGCUUCUCAAGUAAAAUCCAACCACUCUUUUUCUUUUUAAGUUGUAUAAUUCAGGCUUUAAAUUGGUUGUUUGCUUCCUUUUAGAAGUAGGUUCAUUUUGGUUAUUCAUGUUUCUUUCUUAUUUGAUUUUAAUUUUUGAGUAUGCUGCUACUAAUUUCUAUCAAUUUGGAUUAGGGUUGGGUUUCUAAAACCCUAUUUUUCUUCCGGAUUUCGUUGACAAAAUGAUUUUUUUUUACUAUCACUUUUUUUAACUUGAUCAGAUACUCAUCUGGGAGGUACAAGGGUGGAUGUCCACAGGUUACCUCAGAGCUAUGAGUGAUCACAUACUGAUAGUUAGAACUUAAUGGUGGGUCUUGUGAAGCUCUGUUUACAUUGCACUGUCAGUGUACACAUGGAUUCAUGUGUUGGAUAUGCCACAAGCUAGGCAUGGAGCAACUUUCCAGGAAGACAUAAGUAGAGGAAAACUCUAUGGAAUCAUCUGUCCAGCAACCCCAUCAUUCCAUCCAGUCAUGUAGUUGUUGCUUCAUGAAUUGUUGAAUACUCAUAUAAGGAAGGUGAGACAAUUCUUAUGGUGAAGUUUGCAGGUAAUUAUUGAAUAUUGAUGAGUAAUAAUUGGUGAAGUUUAUGUUACAGUGAAUUUUGUAGAAAAUGUCUCCGGUGAUCAGGUACUUGAUUGUUAUAAUUGGUGAAAUUUAUGUUACAAAGAAGUUUGUAGAAAACUUCUUCGGUGAUCAGCUGCAUGAUUGUUAUCUAUUCUACGGUUUGAAAUUCUUUUGGAGAUGUAAAUACUUCAUGUAAAAUCACCAUCUGUUAGUGUUUUAUCAACUGCACUUAUGUGUUUUUAGUCAUGACACAUACAAUCUUCCUCAUUGAUUCCAAAUCUACAUGUUUAACAUUAACAGGUACGUUUCCUAGCAAGUUCCUUUGGAGUUCCUAGGAAUCAUCUUGGUCAACAAAUUUAUCGUUUCUACUUGCCUUAUGAACCUGAUAAUAAAAAUUUUAAAGGAUUGAAAAUUGCAACACGACAUGUGACAACACAUACUAUUAGACUGUUAAUUUUUGGGUGCGAAUGUGGCGGUUUCAUUGGGGUAUCCUGUCAAAACAUGGGUCAACUAAGAAACUCCUUUGCUGCAGCAAUUACUGUACUUGAUCAAAAUCCGAUGUCAUUAUGUGAGUCUGCUCAUGAAUCUGGUUGAGAUGUGUAGAUAUCAGGAGAUGUUGCUGCAGAGUUGAGAGGUCUGGCGGAGAUCAGAUGCAGCGUUUAUUGGAUGCUAGUUGAGGAUAAUCCACUUAAGCAAAUAAUCUCCAUCACCGCAACUUAUAAUCUUGGGUUCAGUCAUCAGCUAACUUAACAAUAUGUGGACCCGCCUUCAGGGAAAUGUUGUAAAACUCACCGAGUUGGCUGAUUACUCCUCCGAGUACCCGCUACUCGGCCCCUUACCGAGGCGAGUUACAAAAUCCCGAGUACUCCCUGAUCAACCCCUUACUGAACUGAGUAGUGUUGUAAAACGCGGUCAACUCGGUGAUUAAUAUGUAUAAUAUACUUAAUGAUUUGUUAUUUAACACACACAUGUGAUUAUUACUACAUAUAUAUCUUAAAUUUUCAAUAAUUAUUCACGAAGUGAGACCAUUAUGUGUUUUCUAGCU